rnacentral:lncRNA from 1 species
GGUUCCCCAGUGCAGGGCCUGGUAUGGCCUUCCCAUAACCUAGGGCACACCACUGGCCCUUUCUGUACCCAUGGGUCUACAGUGCUCAUGAGGGGGUGUCAGAGGUAACAGGUAAACACUGAGGGUCAGAGAGGUUGCACACCUCCCUGAGGUCCACAGCACAAGUGUCCAGAAUAAAAGAGCAGAAUGUCAGCUCAGACCUUUUUACUUAUAAUUUCAAAGUCAACGCUUUAAACCUUGGUGUUCCAUACACCUUGCUCCCUCUGCGCCCUGGGGCCCCAUCCUCAGCAGCCUGUCAGCAUCUUGAAUGUCAAGACUCCCUCCCCACCCCCCAGCCCCCAUUUCAAUGCCCAAUGUGACUUGCCCCAGGCAGUGCCCAGUGCUCUACUGGGCCAAAGCUUUCUGCCCGUUCAGGGGUCCAGGUGUGACCAGGGCUUCUAGAGGCAGCCGAGGUGGAAAUGAACAUGACUCUGCUCUUCCAAGGCUCCCCGCUGGAUCCAGGUGGCAGAGGUGCCAUCCCUUCCCUGGGCUGCCUGCAAGUGGCCUCAGCCUCCUGUGCAGGCAGGCUGCUUCUGAGUCCCCUGAGACCUGAGGAGUCGCAGCAGAAGCAGACUGCCCCACCCUCUGGGCUCAGCCCUGCCCAGCAGCCUCAAAGGCACCGGGGCACACAGACCAGCUGGGAGUCAUACGAACAACUAAUGUUUAUUUUCUCAUCAAACAUUUCCUGAACACCUACUGGGCACGAGGCACUGGAGUCUGCCUGUCCGUCUGCCUCAGGGACCAAGCCCAAGGAGGGGCAGGGCUGCAGCUUGUGGCCCAACCAUCCCCAGGCAGGGCAAGGCUGACCCCAGCUUUAGGCCCCCCCGGGUCCCCCACGCUGUGGUCCUCAGGGAAGUCACCAUACUGUUGUUUUGUGUCCUUGGACCUCAGGGCCCCUCAUCCACCCUCAGCCUCCAUCACCCUCUCCUGGCUUGAGAUGGUCGAGGGUUUCCCCUGAAGGGCCAGACGGUGGGUCAGACUAGAAGCUCUUAGGUACUAAUUUAACAGCAGGGACAAGAAAUGUCCUCAGAGUCACUGAGGAAAUUCAAAGUAUGAUAAUGGAGCACAGUCGUUGGUUACAGGUCUGCUCCCAAGAAGACAGGGAUUCCCCUGAGGGGGUUUCACUUCGGUCAGUAGUGCACCGGGUCAGAUGGCAGUGUCACUGCAGAUGCCAUGCCUAGCACAGCCUCUUGUCCCUGGGGACUCCAGUGGACACCCCCGCCACAUCUGAGCCUCUCAGGACGUGACUUGUCCUCCAGCCUCCGUGGUGGCCUCCUCUUCUUUCCGCAUCUGCAAGGUCAAGGUGCCCGUGGUCCAGGCCCCGGCCUUCUUGCAGGAACGCCUGUCCAUGGAGGGUCUCCUGCACUCCCAAGCCUCUGCUGCCUCUGGCUGGGGACCCCACGCUGUCCCCCCCUGCAGUGAGGGGCAGCUUCUCCAGCUGGAGUGACAGAACCAGUGUCUGUCCCUGUCCCCUGGCCACCCGCGGCCCCACCUCAGCCCCCACAGGCAACAGGUGCGGCCCAAGUCCUGAGCUGCACCCAGCACUGCUCCCCCACUCUGAGCCGCAGCCCACCCGGCUCCCUCCCACCUCGUGCUCCAGUGUCCACCCAGCCUGACCACACUAUCCCCACCCCUCUCCCAGGCUCCUCUCCUCCCACCUGAGAGACCCCCAUUCUGCUGGCUCUGCCCCCUGAUCCCGACCAUCGCCCCAAGUUAACCCUGGUUCUUGUUCAUAUUGAUGAACUUUGAUGUCUUGGGGAUCUGUGGGCCCCUGACGGAUGUCCCUCCCAGAGCUGGCUGGGACCCCAGUGAACGGGUCACAUACAAGGCGGCCAGAAUGAAGCCAGGUCCCACCAUCUCUGUGUAGCUCGUGGGGCCCUCCCUCGCCCCUCAGGGCCUGGUGCCAGACCACUGGGUCCUGAACCCUGGAGCUUGGUAAAAUGGAGCACCAGCCCGUCCUCCACCCUCAGUGACUCCCCGGGCUCGCCCGUUGCUUCUCCCAGAAUGACAACGGGAGCCUGUUGGGGGCCACCGCCGCCUCUGCCUCUGGCCCUCCCUGAGCUUCCUGUGUGGCCCCGUGUGCUGCAGUAGGCCCCAUGCUGUGGUGGAUUGGGGGUAACAGACCUGCUGCUCAGAGCCAAGAGUCCCCCCCCUGCUGGCCUCACUCACCCGCAGAAUAUCCCGACACCCCUCCCAGCCGCAGGUCCAGAGCCCCCCGGGCCUCCCUCGUGCCCCCAAUGCCAUUCUCCCCCUGGGAUCCUCCCAACCAUGUCACUCUUUCCUCUGAAACCCUGACCAAACUCCCACUCACUUAGGAUAGAAUGCAAAGACCCUCAUCACUGGCCACAACUGCACAGGUGGCUGGCCUUAGAGCCAAGACGCAUGAGUGCCUAUCUGUAGUUUCCCAUCUUACAGGGAAAGAAGCUGGGGCUCAGAGAGGUUGGGGGACUCCUUUAAGAUUACACAGCUAGAAACCGGUGUGGGAACCCAGCAAGUCCAACUUCCAGUUCCAUGCUCGCGAGUAAGUGAAGAAUACAGCAAGCCUCGAAGGAGGCCAAAGGCAAGGUCAAAGUUAAAAUGAUGAAACACAGGGAUUCGGCUGGUGUCCAGUCUCAGGGUGGAAUGGACUGUCACCCUGCAGCAUCUGGGGAUGCCCUGAGUCGAGUGCACUGAACGGGGGGCCUACCCUGCUUAACCACAGCCACGUUUCCUGUUCCGUUUUUACUUAAAAUCUUUAAAGUACAUUUGUUUUGUCUGUCUGUUGGUAUAUUGCCAAAGCCUUUUCUCUGAGCGUGGGUCUACAGACAGGAUUUUUGGGUGAACUUUGUCAGAAACCACAUCACAUUGACUCAGCACUGGUUUCCGGUUUCCAUUUCUCUAAAGGAGCAUCUGAACCGGAAGCCCCAGCUCAGAAAUCUGGAGGCAGAGCCC